CUGUUUUCUCUUUUUUGGCAGGGAAUCCUGUCUGUACUUAGGGGCUGGUAGCCGUUUGUACCUGGAAGCUGCUUCCUUCACUUCAGAGUGUGGCGGAUCCUAAUUCCAUUGAAGGGCUGGCAGCUGUAAGAACAGCAUCUGAACCUGGAAAUAGCUUCCUUUGGGAUGUGGGCAUGAUGGGGUUUAAGGAUUACCUGGGCUCCUCCAAUCAGCGGUGUGAGAUCUGUGCGGCAGGUAACGAACACCAUGAGCCCUAUGUUGGUGCACUGCUUGUACGCAGGUGGCAACAGAGCUGCGGUGCUUCCGAGUGCCGUAACGACU